rnacentral:rRNA from 1 species
GACGAACGCUGGCGGCGUACCUAAUACAUGCAAGUCGAGCGAAUCAAUAGGAGCUUGCUCCUGUUGGUUAGCGGCGGACGGGUGAGUAACACGUGGGCAACCUGCCUGUAAGACUGGGAUAACUUCGGGAAACCGGAGCUAAUACCGGAUAAUCCUUUUCCACUCAUGUGGGAAAGCUGAAAGUCGGUUUCGGCUGACACUUACAGAUGGGCCCGCGGCGCAUUAGCUAGUUGGUGAGGUAACGGCUCACCAAGGCGACGAUGCGUUGCCGACCUGAGAGGGUGAGCGGCCACACUGGGACUGAGACACGGCCCAGACUCCUACGGGAGGCAGCAGUAGGGAAUCUUCCGCAAUGGACGAAAGUCUGACGGAGCAACGCCGCGUGAGCGAUGAAGGCCUUCGGGUCGUAAAGCUCUGUUGUUAGGGAAGAAUAAGCAUCGGAGUAACUGCCGGUACCUUGACGGUACCUAACCAGAAAGCCACGGCUAACUACGUGCCAGCCGCCGGGUAA